AACAGAGCCCCCAAGCGUUAUCCGGAUUUAUUGGGCGUAAAGGGUCCGUAGCCGGUCUGGCAAGUCUUGGGUUAAAUACCACAGGCUCAACCUGAGGAAUGCCCAAGAAACUGCCAAACUAGAGGACGUCAGAGGCUGAUGGAACGCACGGUGGAGGGGUGAAAUCCGUCGAUAUCGUGCGGAACACCAAAAGCGAAGGCAUUCAGCUGGGGCGAUCCUGACGGUGAAGGACGAAAGCGUGGGGCGCAAAGAGG
rnacentral:misc_RNA from 1 species